AAUGAACGCUGGCGGCGUGCCUAAUACAUGCAAGUCGAGCGAAGCGGGGACGGGUGAGUAACACGUGGAUAACCUCCUAUAAGACUGGGAUAACUUCGGAAAACCGGAGCUAAACCGGAUACUAAUAAAUGGAUCCUUGCUGCAUUAGCUAGUUGGUAAGGUAACGGCUUACCAAGGCAACGAUGCAUAGCCGACCUGAGAGGGUGAUCGGCCACACGGGAACUGAGACACGGCCCAGACUCCUACGGGAGGCAGCAGUAGGGAAUCUUCCGCAAUGGGCGAAAGCCUGACGGAGCAAUGCCGCGUGAGUGAUGAAGGCCUUCGGAUCGUAAAACUCUGUCAGUAGGGAAGCGGUACCUAAACAGAAAGCCACGGCUAACUACGUGCCAGCCGCCGCGGUAAUUC
rnacentral:rRNA from 1 species